UACGAAGGGUGCAAGCGUUACUCGGAAUUACUGGGCGUAAAGCGUGCGUAGGUGGUUUGUUAAGUCUGAUGGUGAAAGCCCUGGGCUCAACCUGGGAAUGGCAUUGGAUACUGGCGAGCUAGAGUGGCGGUAGAGGGUAGUGGAAUUCCCGGUGUAGCAGUGAAAUGCGUAGAGAUCGGGAGGAACAUCUGUGGCGAAGGCGACUACCUGGACCAGCACUGACACUGAGGCGCGAAAGCGUGGGGAGCAAACCGG
rnacentral:rRNA from 1 species